GAAGCCGUUGAAUCCGGUUGAAACGCGAGCGCUGCUGAACGUUCCGUUAUUCUGCAUAUUCGAACAACGUACGGAAUAACACGGAAGGAGGGAGCGUUAUUUUGGCGAUGUGAUUGAUGGUACGCUUGCUUUGAACCAUCUUGAGUGAAGUGCCCCCAUCCAAAGACAUGGCAGAGCAAGACGCCCAGCAGCACACAGCAGAUGUAAAGGAAGAAGACACGCAGUCCACACAUAUGGAUUGUGUCUCAGGAAGUUAUAAGUACAAACCGGAGGAAACUAAUAUUACUGAGCACAUCUCAAAAGAAAGGGAUUCUAUUGAAGACAAGACAGAAGGGUCUCCUCCAGAUGACUACACUGUGCAGAAUGUAGAGGGAAA